AUAUUGCAGCUUUUCCAGAAAGCAUAAACAUUUUAGAUGGAGUAUCUGAAGAUGUGAGAACACCUGAUAAACUAAUUGAUAAUAUAAAUGAUACAACUGAUGGCAGGCACAUGUGGCUCUCACCAAUUCUUCCUGGCUUGGUAAGAAUGCUACAAACAUUUGAUAUAAAUGUAAUACAGUUUGAAAUAAUGGAUUAAUUGAUAUUGAAAGCAUAAUUAAACCACUGGGAGUCCAUGUUCACUUUCUCUGUAUUUUUAUAUUUUUUUUUGUCCCUGUUAUGUUUUCUUUUUCUCUGCAGUAAUACAGUUUUAUAUGGCAUGCUCUCAAUACAAACAUGUAUUCCUGACCCUAUAGUCAUGGGCAUUCGCAGGAAUUUUUCCUCCGGGGGGGGGAAUAAUUGUAAUGACAUCCAUGCUUGGCCCCUUUUUGACAGUGUCAUGAAGGGGAGGAGCAUAGUCAUUAUCAUAUAAAGCCAGGGUGAAUAGCAUUUUCACAACUAUGGUGUCAGGAAUACAUGUUUGUAUUCCUGACACUAUAGUGUUCCUUUAAGCAAAUUAAAGGAACAUUCUGGUCACCAUAACUUAAUCUAAAUGAAAAUGCUAUGAUGCCAGGAGGCCCCUGGACGCUCUCUUUCCUGUAAGGGGUUAAACCGCUCUCAAAUGGUUUAACCCCAAAGGCUUCCUCCAGCUCCAGAUCUCCAGGUCGCUCAGUGGUAGUCGGCUUCUGAAACGGAGUGUCUACCCCCCUGUACCACCCUCUCCACGGACGCCCAUGCCUAUAGUGUUAAAACCACCAUCUAGCCCGCUUGGGACCCUCAUGCCUCCAAAAUCUUACUGUAUUCAAGCUGUAGAUUUGCAUGCUGUUUGCCUCAGAAAACCAAGAUGUUUGCUAAUAUCAUCAGGAGUGGUGGCCUGAUCCAAUCACAAUCCUUCCCCAUAGGAUUGGCUGAGACUGACAAAGAGGUAUCAGCAUCUCCUCAUAGAGUUGAAUUGAAUCAAUUAAUCUCUAUGAGGAAAGUUCAGUGUCUGCAUGCAGAGGGAGGAGACACUGAAUGUUUGGAUGCAUUUUAGGCAGGCAUGACCCAGCAAGGAUCUCUAACAUCCACCUGAGGAGUGGCCAGUGAAGUUAUCACGGCUGUAAUGCAAACACAUAUAUAUGGGAAAACAAGGGGCUGGCUGCACUCACCUGAACAUGCUUAAAUGGGGUGUUGCUGGGGGCCAAUAAGUACAGUAAAAAUUAAAAUCCAGCGCACUCCCAAGGAGUUACCCAGGGUCCGCUACAAUUGGUGAUAAGCAGCGGGAUCCUACUUCCCUGCCAACAGACCCAUGGAUUAUAAUUCCUUAAAAAGGCAAACCCUACAAGACUUGCUGGAAGCAAGAGGGAAACCGGCCGGCAACCGUAAAAAAAAAAAGCCGACCUGAUUGCCGAGCUAAUAGAAGACGACAAGUGAAGAAAUGAGGAGGCUGCCCCACAGCCGGAGGGGGGAAGAAGAAGCCUUCGCCAGAAUGAUGAGGCAGCGCUUGGCCUUCUACAAUAAGCCUCCCACGGUAGAACUCCUGACCAAGCUUUGAGACCCAAGCCUUUGUCCUACACCCGAGGAACCGUGGACCAGAGAGGGGCCGGCCACCCUUACACCCAAACCAAAGUUGCCCCCAUACUGCCUUCAGGGAGUUCAGGUACGCAGAGGAGGGCAUUGAAGAAUUCCUGCAGGACUUUGAGUGCCUCCUGCUAGAAGUCAAGCAGGCGAACUGUGUCGCCAUUCUGGGCAGCAAGAUGACAGGAAAUGCUGCAGAGGCGUACCAAGCAGUACCUGGGGGCCAGAUCCGCGACUACGUAGCUGUGAAAGAUGUCCUACUGGCGAGGUAUGCCAUAACUCUGGAGGCAUACCGGCGGAAGUUCAGAGGGACAAGAAAAUGGGAGAAGGAUUCCCAUACAGAGUGGGCAUGCCGCAUCCACGAGCUGCCCAGAACUGAACUUGCAACAAGAAAAGUCCUCCGAGGAGGUGCUCCACUUGUUCAUGGUGAAGUACAUGAAAGUCCUGUAUUUAUUUAAAUAAGUUGGAUGUUCUGCAGGGAGAUAGCAAGUCCAGGUAGGUUUGUAGAUAGGUCAGGAAGAAGUGUUGUACAUGUAAGUUUGGAGCAGGUUGGUGAGUAUUGCAGGAUAAGUAACCAAAAAGGAAAUUCCACAGGUAAACUCAGGAGCCAGGAUAUGAAGUAUUUUCAGGUUAUCAUCAAACUUCAAUGUCAAGGCCACUUGCUUUGUCAGGUGUGGCCUUUUAUAGCAGUAUUUGAUUUCAUGUUCUACAGGUGAGAGUUGGAAACAGGUACUGGAAUUUAAAGGAACGGUAUCAAAUGGAAAAUAGUCUUGCUAGUCAGGGUAGGAACCUGACACCACGUUGGAGCUGUGCUGGAUAGCAUCAGGGAGGCAGGGUUGACACUGAAACCGAGUAAGUGUCACCUCGGGAUGGCAGAGGUGCAGUACCUGGGGCACUUGGUGGGGUGUGGGGCACAGAAACCUGAACAGGUCAAGGUAGAGGCAGUAGCUAGUUGGCCCCAUCUCUGAACAAAAACCCAGGUGCUGGCCUGAAAGUUUGUCCCCAACUACAACGUUAUAGCUAAAUCUCUCACUGACCUGACCGCAAAAACCUACCUACCCCGACAGGUAGCCUGGACCCCAGAGUGUGAGCAGGUGUUCCAAGCCCUCAAAAAUGCCCUGGUAAAUGCCCCUGUAUUGGCCGCUCCUAAUCCCAGGAAACGUUUUCUCGUCCACACAGAUGCCUCCAUGUUCGGAUUGGGAGCCGUACUAAGCCAGGUGAGGGAUGAUGGUGGAGAACACCCCAUUGCUUACCUCAACAGGAAGCUAUUACCCAGGGAGGUGAGCUACGCUGCCAUCGAAAAGGAGUGCCUGGCGGUGGUGUGGGCCCUCAAAAAGCUACAGUCCUAUUUGUACGGACAACCCAGUACGCAAAAUGGCAAUGCCGACGGGCUGUCCAGGCAGACCAGUGAUCCGUGGGUGCUUCCCUCGGACAUCCGCAGGCCGAUCCUUUAGGACCUUCCUGCGGAUGCUGACCAGUGGUUAAGGGGGAGCUGUGUAGCGGAACCCCCACUAAUCUGUGAACUUCCCCGGUUACCCUGCAAUGUGUGUUACUGUUCUGACCUCCCUUUCAUGUGUUUUCCCUAUCUUGACCCUGUGUUUCAUUUGUUGUGUUUGUAGUACUACCUGCUCCCCGUUCAGGAGAUCCGCCACAAAUGGGACUUAAUUCGCCUCCCGAACAGGGACCACCACAAAAUCCCAUUUAGAAUUUAGUUUUAGAACGUUUGCACCUUAUAAUGAGGUGUCAAAAUCACAAAGCGCAAGGGGAUCCUCGGCACGUGCCUCCCCUGCCAUCCAGGAGGAGCAUUCGCGGAUUGUUUCCCACAUCGUUCAGUUCCCGAACGAGGACCUCCAUGGCACCCACUGGAAUGUUCACACCAAUCAAUUAGAACGCUGGCAACUCGCAAGGUAUGAAACUGCAAGGGAAGGCCAGGGGGAGCAUUUAUGUCCCGAAAGGAGAUGCUUCCCUUACCCAAUUCUACACAGGGACCCCACGUACGUUGGCUGUUCAUGCCGGUUAUCGUGCUGGGGGUCCCUAAGAUUGGGGGAGACAUCCUUUUGGACAAUGGCGGAGGUUAGUGGGCUCUCCAGAUAAAGAGACUUCUAGGAAGAAGAUCCUGGGUGGGGACACAGUGGCGGAAACAGGGGCCGUUUGUCAGGGGACCCCUGGGAGGGGACACUGAGUGGCGGGGACAAAGGGUUCUGGUUCCGUUAUACAGCCCUCGGUGGGGGAGGACCCUGGGAGGGGACACUUUUUUUCAGGUGUGUUUUACAAAAUUACACUGCCUACCAGUGAUGCCAUUUACAAUUAUUGAUAUAUAUUUUCUGUCAUAUACUGCAUAACUUUUUUCCACAUUUUAAUAUCAUAUAGAUCCCUAUCGGUCUGCCAAAACAUGAUAUUAAAUUCAUCGAGGCAUGGACUACACAAGACCUCUGAAUGUGUCCUGUGUAUCUGGCAACAAGACUUGACUUCACCUUUGCUUGUAGAUACUUUUUAAAGAUUCUUGACCUGAUGGGCUAACCCUCAGCACCCUUUGCUCACUUCCACAUGUGUCAUCUGCAGUGGUCUGUUCUCCACUAGUUAACAUGGGAAACAUAGAAUGUGACGGCAGAUGAGAACCAUUCGUCCCAUCUAGUUAGCCCAAUUUUCUAAAUACUUCCAUUAGUCACUGGCCUUAUCUUAUAGCUAGUAAGAUGGAAACUCCAAGGAUCUCUUUCAGCUGGGACUUGAGCUUCUCUCCUUUCGUAUAUUGACCACCCCUUAUUGACUCAUAAGUGUUCCUUCAGGGUGCUAAUGUCAACCAUAUGUGAGAGGAGUGUCAAGGAGGGUGCUGUGUGGUCAGAGGUUCACAAGCGCUACAUAGACAUUUGGGAAAUUAACUUUCUCAACCACCAGACCUUUCAUCCAGAGAUGUGGAGUCUGUCUGCUUUUUUUCCUCCCAGAUUGUUGUCUUCCUGAGAUACACAUGAUGGCUGCUCAGUCAAAUUCCCAAUUUCCAUGUCUUUUUCCAUGGGCAAGGAUCUGAGGGCAAGCCUGGUGGAUACCCCAAUGAUUCUGUAGAUUCUGCUUGAUCUGUCUCUUGCCCUUGUUGCUUCUGGUGGUGGCCAGGAUUUAUCAAGAAUUGGCCCCAGAUUAUAAUAGCUGUGUAACGAUGCUGCAAUUGGUAUUCAACUCUGGUAGAGAUGGUCACAGUCCAUCUGUAGACAUUUCCACUCCUUCUGCAGUGUCCUUUCUGUCAUCAAGAUCUUCUGUGUGUGACAGCCAGAAGAUUGAACAUGUCAUGGCUUCACUCAUCUCCCUCCAGCCCUGACUUACCUGACUCUGCCAUACUGCUCCACCAUGACCCACUAGGGUUAAAACCUUAGCAUUGGUCAGGGUCAGGGCUCCACCUUCUGGUGUCAAGGAGCAUGCAAUCCAAAUGUGGCAGAUUUUAUGCAGAGUAAUGGAGGCUGUAGGGUGGUGUCAGGGAUGCAGGGAUGAUGUGUACAAGGGGUGUCUCCCUUUUCCUCUAUAUAAAGCCCAUGCACACAUACUCCUUUGCUCAGGUGUACGGUGCCCCUUCUUCGUGAUCAGUAUUUAGUGCAAAUGCUCACUGGUUAUUGUCUUUGAACCUUUGUUGCCUGGACUGACUUUUGCUGUAUCUUGACCAUAUCUUAGUCUUAUCCUUGUUUGUACCUCUCUUUGGCUUACUCUAUACCUACCUUUUACUGCAUCCUGAGUUCCUUCAACAACCCUGACAGGUUAUACAAUCUUGUACAAUCUUGUACUCUUCUUCGCAUAGAGUUGAUCAGAUUGUUGAUUGUGGCCUGUGGAAUGUUGGUCCACUCGUCUUCAAUGGCUUUGCAAAGUUGCUGGAUAUUGGCAGGACUUUGAACACGCUGUCAUAUACGCCAAUCCAGAGCAUCCCAAACAUGCUCAGUUGGUGACAUGUCCGGUGAGUAUGCUGGCCAUGCAAGAACUGUAUGGUUUCAGUUUCCAGGAAUUGUGUACAGAUCUUUGCAACAUGGGGCCGUGCAUUAUAAUGCUGCAACAUGAGGUGAUGGUGGUGGAUGAAUGGCACAACAAUGGGCCUCAGGAUCUCGCCACAGUAUCUCAUGCAGACGGAUUCUUACAGUUCGUGCAGAAAUUCUUUGGUUAUGCAAACCGAUUGUUGUAGCAGCUGUCCAGAUGGCUGAUCUCAGACAAUCUUGGAGGUGAAGAUGCUGAAUGUUGAGGUCCUGGGCUGGUGUGGUUACACGUGGUUGUGAGACCGGUUGGAUGUACUGCCAAAUUCUCUGAAACGCCUUUGGAGACGGCUUAAAUGGACAUUCAGUUCAUGGGCUCUGGUGGGCAUUUCUGCAGUCCGCAUGCCAAUUGCACGCACCCUUGCGACAUCUAUGGCAUUGUGCUGUAUGAUAAAUCUGCACAUUUUAGAGUGGCCUUUUUAACCCUUUAAGACCACGGGGCGUUCUAUGCCGCCCUUAAGGAACCGGCUCUAAAUGCUGCAGGGCGGCAUAGAACGUCCAUGCCAUCCUAUGUACUUACCCGGUCGCCGGUGAUCGCGGUAUGGGGACUUACCUGGGAGCCCAAGGAGUCCCCCUCCUUCCUCUUCGGCCCAUCUGGGCCAUGUGAUUGCCAGCAAGGGGAGUGCCUGUAAUGACAGGUACUCCCCCUGCUGUCUGAAAAAAACAAAAACAACCUGUUAAAAAUUAAACAAAAACAACAGUUUAAAAUUAAAUAAUAUAUACUUAGAUCAUAUAUAGAUUUAUUAUAUAUAUGAUCUAAGUGUAUAUAUAGAUAUAUAUAUAUAUAUAUAUAUAUAUAUACAUACAUACAUACACUGUCUAAGUGUAUUUUAAUAUUAAUAUAUAUAUAUUCAUAUCAAAGUACACGUACAAUGAUAUUGACUAAAUAUAUAAUUAAUAUUAUAGUUAUAUAUAUAAAAUAAACAAAUCUGUAAAUACGUUAAAUAAAAUUACAAAAAUAGGAAAUAUAUAUACAUGUAUAAUUUCGUUCUAACUGUAUUUUAAAAUUAAUAUAUAGAUAUCAAAAUACAUGUAGAACAAAAUAAUAUAUAUAUAUAUAUAUCUAUUUUCAUAAGCAUUUAUCUAUGUAUAUAUAUGUUGUAGAUAAUUUACUGCAAACCAAUUAGUUUGAAUGACUAUCUGUUCCUGUCCAAAUUAAUGAUAAUAAAGUUGCGUGCACGCAGAAGUAAAUUCACACUGAGACACAAAGUUCAGGUUAAUGAAAGAACUUCGGAGAAGUUUAAUGGCUUCUGAUUAAAAAGCAGGCUCGCAGGCCCUUUUAAAGGCAUUAUUACAUCAUUGAAGAAAAUCAAGAUAUAGACAAAUAGACAUUAAUUGGCUUAGGUGCUAAGAUGUUAGUAAAAUGCCCUCCCUAUGGGGUGUACCAUCUUAAGUCACUAUCCUCGUCAUGAUCAUCUCCUCCAGGUUUUAGCGCCAUUUUGCUAACAUGAGGAGCUCACUCGACGGGAGGGGCCUUUUGGCAGCUAUCCAUUUAGAGUGUAGCUGGCACGGUUAGUUUCUCAAGGUUAGGUUUCAGGGCUUUUAGUAAAUACACAUUUUAUCAAAGCUAUUUCUUGCUGCCAUGCAAAUUCUAUGUUCUAUAGACAAAGCUUUCUUGUAAAACUAUGGGGGCCUCUUAGAGGUAUAGCAAGAGGAUUUAAAGGGGCCUUACAGAUUUAUAGAGGCCUAAUAAUUCUACAACAUAUAUAUAUAUAUAUAUAUAUAUAUAUAUAUACGUGUGUAUAUAUAAAAUAAUUCUACGUAUAUAUUUAUGUAAUAAUUUUACAUAAUUAGGUCAUUUUAUUAAUUACAAUUUGCAGGACCUGCCACUUAGUCACAAACACUGGCCAGAAUUGGCGUUCAAAUUAGUUUUUUGCAUUUUCAAAUAUUAACACUAACUUUGACCGGUGUUUGUGACCAAGUGGCUACUAAAAAAGACUGGACAUACCCCAUUUGCAGUACCUUGAGUUGUCUUCUUUUGCAAAUGGUAUGCCAUCAUGGGGGUAAUUCUCAUUCCUGGGCUACCAUACGGUCUCAAAGGCAACGUAACCAAUUUCAAUGUGAAAAAACUGAAAAAUUUAACACGCUAUAUUUGACUCUGUAACUUAUAAAACCAGUACAUAGGGGGUACUGUUUUACACGUGAGACAUCGCUGAAUACAAAUAUUUUUUUAAAUGUAUUUUUUUUUUAUUUUUCAACAUACAAGGUACAUGCAUACAUCUAAAAUCUUUGUAGUGCUCCCAGGUACUCCCUUUUUGGCAUGUGUACCAUUAUAUCUUGUAUAGUUUGAUUCAUAGUCACUUAACCAGGAGGAUGAAUAGCACAAUAUGAAAAAAUGUAUAUACCCAGAAGUAUUGAUGAGAAUAAAGAGACUUCUUUUUUUUGAGUCUGUAUAUUAAGUGUUUCACUAUUCAACACAGCCCCUACAGAGGUUUUUUGCUUCUAAAUGUGUAUCUCCACUUCCAGCAGCAUUGUCACCGUUAAGUAAGGGAACCCCAAAACUCUCAGACCCUAAUCCACUAAAAGAGGUGCACCAAAUAUUAUAUAUAACGUAAAAGUGGUCAAAGAGAAAGCUGAGGUCAAGGAGAAAACAUGAUUAUUGUAAAAUAAGCCAAAAGGUCAGGAACACAGAGAGCAGAGAAAUGGUUAAGCAAGCCAAGGUCAGUAACCGUGACUGCAAUACAAUAAUACAGUAGAAACGCACUCUUGGGUCAAGGAGAACCACAACAGGGCAACUUGCUCCACCAAGCUCUGACUUUAAAUAGCCAGUGCAAUAACACAAUUGGCUGGCUUCAUUUUAGAACGCCUAAAGACCCAAAUCGGCGAAUUCAGGACUUUUCUGUGUUUGUUCGUGCUGAUGGUAUCGGCUCUCUGAGUUGCACUGUUCUGACAUUGGCGUCAGACUACAAACAGCGUGCUGCAUCUGUCCCGCCGUCGGAUCGGAGAGGAGGAGGUAAGCAGGUAAGCAAAACAAUCAUUAGAUGUCAUCAACCAGUCCAGUACAAAUCUUGUGGGUUGGCUAAUGAAAAUUCUGUGCAUAUUGGACAUCUGUCACCAGCACACAGCAUGCUGGUGCCAGGCAAAUAAUAAUAUGAUGUCUCAUCGUUAAUGCUGGCUAAGUCCUUUCUUCCACCUGUCCUCCUUGACAUCACCAGUGAUGCAUAGUGACUUCACUAGAGGAAGAUUGGACUUCCAGGACAACUUGGCCUUCAAUUUGGAUCAGAGAUAAGGUAUGGUUUUGUUCUUAUAGUAGAGGGAAGUAGUUCAAUAAGGGUUAUUGACCAAAAAAAGUGUUUUCUGCUUUUUAGUUAAUGCAACUCCUUAAGUUAACUUGGAUUUGACAUCAUAUUUCCAGUAUUGGUAUGAACUGACUUAUAGCAGCACUGUUAAAUCCCUCCUAUUCCCAAAAAUAUAAGUAUUUUACAAAGAUAGAAUCUGUAUGAAAUACUCAUUUUGACUGUGUUGGGAUUUCAUUCAAAUUCCAACCUAGUAAAGCGAUAUACUGAGACAAAGUAGAGGCUACUUUGUCUCUGUAUAUGUCUUACGCUUGUACACUGGGUGGAGCUACCUUUUGUCUAAAAGCAUCAAUCCCCCCCAGCCGUCACCUAUCCUCCUAUGGAGGAUCCUGCAGUCAGGAGCUGAAAAGAAUCUGCUGGAAAAAGAUGGCCUUGCCCUGCAACGGACUGGUUCGGGUAAGUAGAACUACCAGACGGUGACAGUGCCGCUUUAAAAAAUAUUUUUUUCAACAGCUUUUGUUUCAAAAGUGAAUAUAGCUCUUUUUGUUUUGGUUGUAUUUUUCCCCUUUCCUCUCUUACCUUGUUACUUCCCUUUAAAAUGCUAAUGACAUGUUUACAAAAAUAUGUGUGAAUAGCAUAUCAUUAGUUUGUUAACUUUUGAAAUAGUUGAAUCACCAUUGUCCUAAUCUAAUAAUUUAUACAUUUUUGAACAGGUUAAUCGCGUUUACAUUGUGUUUGAUCAGCCAACUACAGUGUCUAUGAUAAAACUAUGGAAUUACGCUAAAACCCCUCAAAGAGGAGUAAAAGAAUUUGGUGUAAGUAUUAAAAAU